rnacentral:rRNA from 1 species
UUAUGAAGUUCUGCCUGCCCGGUGACAUAAAGUUAAACGGGAGCAGUUUCACUGAGGGUUCAAAGGUAGCAUAAUCACUCCAGUGAAAAUUGUAGGCUGGAAUCAGAGGCGGGCCGAUAGAAGCAAGACGAGAAGACCUUAUUAAUUUGAAAUUUACUAAAUGGUGCAGAGCCCAUAAAUUACUCAGGUGAUAAGAUGCCCAACUAGCAUUUUACAUUUAGAGUGGUUUGUCCUUGCUAAAAAGUUUAGUUGGGGCACCUUUCUUUUUUGUAAAACAAAGAAUAAGUAAUAAAUAAUCUAAUUUGUGACCUAAAAAUUUUUAAUUAAAGGAAAAAGUUACCUUAGGGAUAACAGCGUAAUUCUUCUUGAGAGUACUUAUUGACAGAAGAGCUUGCGACCUCGAUGUUGGAUCAGAAAACCCUAGAUGUGCAGGCAGCCUCUAAAGGGAGGUUUG